UUACGGCAAGUCCAGAUAGAGCUCCCAUUUUUCGUAAGAAGAUUCCAGCCAUGGUCUGUUUAUCAGGUGGCUGCAUGGGGGAACAUCAGAAGCAUAUGAUGUCUUGAAAAUGGAAAUCUUCCAAGCCGUAAAAAUUGAGGCAGAAUAGCAUUGGUGAGCGCCUGGGCUGAUGAUGGUCAACUUUCAUAAGGUUAAAAUGGAGAAAGCGAUAUCAGCAUAUGGAAUUUCAAGAGUCCUUGCCUAGUUGUGAUACCUUUCGUAUUUAGGACCCUUCAAGAUCUUCAUCAGUUGCAAUGUGACACACGUUACGUUGUCUCUGGUCUAGAAUGCUAGGAGCUACUAUCCCCCAACCUCGCCUUCAGUGCUACGGUUGUGGAACUAAGAGACCAUCGUACAGGCUACGAAAGGACAUUUUUCUAGAUAUAAUGCCCGAACGCAGAUACCAUCAAUCCUAGCCCAAAUGUCCAAGAUGCGAAACACUUAAUGGUGCUAACAACAAGCUCCCGUAGCCACUUUCAUUGAUGAUCGGGCGUCCUAGCAGUCUUGGUUUUUAAGGACACAGCUUGUCUGCAAAAAUUUAGAGAAUGUGGAAUGAUAAUGAAGAGCGAUUUACUGAAUGUAAGAGGAAUACAAUCUAAUAAUGGACUUGAGUCUUUUUAUAUAUUGACAAUUUUUGCGCUUCAUGGGUCACAGAUAUAAGUUAUAUGAAAUUAUAUUUAGUAAGUUUAAUUUCUUCACUUAUGACAGUGAAACAUUUUAUUCCAAUAGCUUAAGAGAAAACUGAAGUUCAGUAUGAUCAGUCAUAAUUCCAUAAAUGUUCAAUUGAAUAAGAUGAAUUGUGGUUCUGUGUGAAAAUUUUAAGACUGCCUCAACAGUUAUUAUUAAAAUUUAAAACAGAAUAUCCAGUUGCUUUAUCCACAUUCUUAUGCAGAUAGGUUUUCGCUCGCAAAGCAUUGGUAUUACCACCACUUAUGGUCGUCUGUGUUUUAUUUCAAUCUUAGUGAUGUAGUCAUUUUUCAUAUUUGUGCUUUUGAUGAUGUGGAGUUGUUCGUCAGUAUAGCGUUUGAGAAGAUCAUAGUCCGCACACUUACCUCAACUAACCCUAACAUCUUUGUAAAAUCCGACUUGAUGUAAAUGCUUUUACAUGAAGAGGUUUUACAUUGAUAGCUUGUGCAAAAUCUAUAAUGAAAUGUUUUGUUUGAGAAAAUAUUUCAUUAUAUUUUUGUACACAGUCUGCUCCUCGUGAGGGAUGGCUGGGUGCACACAGUCAUCUCUCAAGAUCGAGGAUCGCACAAUACUAAUAUACUAAUAUUAUGAUUUUCUCAAGUGUUAUAGUUGACAAAUAUUUCCAAUUCAUCAUGUAUGCACCUUUUUUCUUCGGACCCCAAAAUCCAUAUUGAAAUUUGCAUGGACGGUCAUACAAGGUAAUGUGAAAUAUGUCGAAGCAAGCUUGCUUUGUUCUUUGCUUGAAUCAUUACAUUUGAGAAACUUCUAAUCAAUCAUAUGUCAAAGUUUAUUUCAAUCAUUGAUGUAUGGCUAAUAAACAUAUUACCUGAAAUUUUAUAUAUUUUAUCAUGAGAGAGAAGUAUAUCCAAGUUUUGAUGUAUACUUUCAGUUGUACAAGGAUCGAGUUACUUUAUUUAUGACUUCAUCCUCUUUUUA